rnacentral:lncRNA from 1 species
GCUGCUCAUGUCUUCUCUUUCCCCAGCACCAGUUAUAUAUGCUACCCAGAUUUUUAUUAAUUCAUUGCAGGGUAAAACUGCUGUUUUCUUUUUCUUGCCUUUCGUUCUCACCCUUCAAAAGUUAAACGGAAAUUCUUACCUGAAAAUUGGGGAGAUUGAUCAAACGACGAAGAUACAUGCAUGUCAAUUUACUUUCUGAGUGGUUUCUUUUGUUCCCUGUGAAGAGUAGGAUAUCUUAUUGGUUUCUAAAUCUGUUGUUUUUGUAUGACCUUUCCUGGAAUCAGUUCUAACAGAAAUGUUAUAUAACCAUUUUUAUGACAUGUACACUCUUCUGAAUGGGAAAGUGUUGUGUGCAUGCCAGGUAUCUCAUUAUUUUUCCAUUUCUUGUUCAACCAUUCCUUUUUGUUAUUUUUAAUCAUCAUGGUGGCUGGGGGAGGGGGGUUGAUAAUGUUUCUGAGUUCUUUUUUUAUAUAUUUUGUAUAUCUGUUUUCCUUCGAGUGUUUUCCACUGGUUAGGGACUAAAUUAGGGAUAUACUUUGAUGUUCCUUGUACACCAUAAUUCCAGAGAUCACACAAUGACUGCUGUUUAGAUAUCCAUUAGGAUUUGAAUGUCAGAAUAGUGAAGAGAUAGAAAAACCGUUACCUUCAAUAUUGGAUUCCAUUUUAUACCAGUUGCAACCACCCUUCGCCCAUCAUGCAGAGCACAUUUAUUAUCUAGUCAAUGAAGGUAGUUACUUAGAUUCAGUCCAUGAUGUUAUGUUACAAGUAUAAACUUAAGAUGCGAUCUCAGAUAUUACAGAAUAAAGCUCUUUGGAGUUGAACAUACACUCAUUUAUGAUAUCCUCAUUAUGUUUACCUGUUACGUCAUAUGAUCUAUGCUCACAACAUUACUUUUUCUGCUUGUGCUAAAAGCGCCGAAGUUGAUACCUCUAGUGCUAAUAACGUGGUCCCUCGUCCACUUGAUGGUAUUGAGAUCUGAAAAUGCCACCAUGUGAACAAUGUUUGGACGUUUCUGCGGUAUCAGAAUUUUGUUACUUUGAUGGAUGCUGUUAUGUAGCAACUAGCAAUCCUCAUCAAUAUAUUCUUGUUACUUUAUAUUUACAUGCUUAACAUUUUGAAUAAGUUGAUUGUGAUUUAUAUAUACACAUUUUGCUCACAUUAAUUUCUUAUCCUGACGUGACAUCUUGAGUUCUUACAUUUUUCGUUUCCUUUCCUUUUUGUAUUUUGGUGAUGGGUGACACUUUGUGCAAUUUGGCCUGCAUAUGCAUCUUUAUUCCAUGUUCAUCCUUUUAUAUGGAUAUAUCUUCUUUGAAUAUCAGAAGCACACAAAAUUUGUUCUCAUCUUUAAAGGAUGUUUUGGUGGACUAAAGCGCUUCUCUUUAUGACAGUAAAACAGAAUAUUUUUUAUAGGCAUGCAUUCAAGAAGAUUUUGGAUCAGUUUCUGGGAAUUAAUUUUGGUGGGGCCAAAACCAUUGGCUGGAUGAGACGCUGACACUGAAUUUUCCCUCAACACAUAGCUUCUAGUCUCAGAACUGCAAAUUGAAUUAAAUUGACAGUGGAGGAUCUUCUUUCUCGGUUUCAAAUUAUACAAGUGAGUCCUCCGCUGCAAUCUAGAAUAUAAGCUCCACAUAAGAUUGGCCAUUUUAUUUCUUGUUGUUUAGAUUCAGUUAUUAACGCGUGCAACUUGAAAUUCAACACAACAGAAAUGUCCUAAAGAUGUAUGUUCUAAAAAUCAAAAUAGCCUAGAUUUAAAUUGAAAUCGACAAGUUGCUUGAUGUCUCUAUUGAUCUUGACAGUCAAUGGAAAAGGACUUCAUGCAUUACACUCUUACCCAAAUGAAAGAUAUUAGAUUUUCAGUUUUUAGCUCUAAACUGUUGUGUCCCUCAAAAUUUUGAAACCUUCCACUGGUUUGUAAAUGAGAUUGUCAACGGAGCAAUAAAAGGUUAGUGGACUGGAGAAAAGCUGUUAUGAUGAGAUUAAAGAACAAUACUGACAAACUUCAGCCCUUAAUAUUUGAUGUUGAUGUAAAGAUAAAGAGAGUUUAAAGUUUAUCAAUAAUUUGGUCAAUAAUGUCUUCAUGUUGACAAUCAAGCAUGAGAGAGAGAGUAGAGUUUAUUGAAAAGUUGUGAUGCUUACAUACGUGGACCAAUUAGUAAUUUAAGGUCUUGUCUCAUGAGAUAUCCAUUAAUUUCGUUUGUACCAAAUUUUACGCCAAUAUUUGCAACUCAACCAAGAAGUUUGACAUUAUUGGUUAGCAAUGCUAGCGCAUCUCUCCUAAUGGCCUGUUAAUUUUAGAAUGAUCUUUUCAUGAGCUACAAUUGUUCAUAUUUCUGCAAAAUCCCUGCAUUUUUCAAUCUGGUUAAAUUAUGUAUCUCAAUCCCUCCUAACCUGAGGUAUUUGAUGCUUUAGAAUUCAUUUUAGUAAUUUUACUUCCUACUUAUUUGCAAAAUGCUCUUUGUGAUCUCAGCCAAUGAUGCGUCUCCUUAGUGUACAAUUUUUUCGGAAACUAUUGAUUUUAGCUUCAGAAUACUUUUAAUUCUAUUGCUAUUGAUUUUCAGAUAAUUAGUUUCCGAAUUUGCUUUAUUCGUAGAUAACUUUUAAGAAUCUGAAAAGCUACGAGAAUAUGCAUCUAUCUUUAACUGUUUCUUUUUCUUUUCUUUUUUUUUUUUAAUGGGAGGGUUGGCCUAACCAGUAUUAUGUUAAAAUUGGCCUUGAAUAUUUGGCUUUCCC